AGCAAAAUAAACAGGAGUCUCAUCACCAG
rnacentral:piRNA from 1 species